rnacentral:lncRNA from 10 species
GAAAGGACAGGAGGCUGGAACUAUCAAUCCUGUCUGGCACCUCCUCACCCGUCUGCUUGCCCCUGGUGGCGCUGGCUCUGCCGCGGGCAGAGGAAGUGCUACCCAGGUGAUAAGAGACACUCUGACUGUGGUCAGAGGAGCAGAGAGGCCUGGCAGGGUCUCUCUCCACCUGCUACUGGCUUUGCCCACCACCGAGGGCUCUGCUUCCUGGGCAAACAUCCAAGGAGAGUGCAGAGUACCAGCAGAGCUUGGGCAAGUCACUCGGCCUUGCUGAGCUGCAUCUGGAGAAUAGGAGAGAAACCCAGGGAGGACUAAAAGUGCAGGCCUCAUUGGAUGAAUCUGAGGAACACGUGGAAGGGCACUUUCUGCCUCAGAGCAUCCCCCCACCCCAGAAUACCACAGUGCCUGAGGUCAGCCCAUUAACACCGCACCAUCAGGAUAAGGCUCUGUCUCCCCAGCAAAUCCCCAGUCAACUCACAAGGUGCUGACUCGAAUGCAAUACACACAAAGGGCCUGGGGGAAGGAAGAUCCGAGGCUGCCUUCUGAAAUCUGCUGAACAAUCAGGAAAACCUCCAGAGUUCCCACAUGUUCCAGUCUGACAAGCAUCUCCAGAGGGCAUCUCCAGAGGGCAUCUGCUUCGAUCCCACCUGCCUUCAAUCAUCCUGGGUGCACUGCUGUGCCGAACCCUCACUGAUUCUGUGCCUAAUGUGACUUAACACUGUUCAAAGGCUCACCCAUGCCUUCAGCUUGGAACUGAGCUGGGAGGAAUACAUCUGUCAAAGGAGCAGCAAAAGAUGUGAGUGGUAUUGACUGCAUAUCUCUAGGAGGAAUGGGCAGAGAGCAGGAACCAAGCUGGGGGCUAGAAUGGGGAAAGUGAGGUAGAAUGGCC